rnacentral:rRNA from 1 species
GGGAAUCUUAGACAAUGGGCGCAAGCCUGAUCUAGCCAUGCCGCGUGAGUGACGAAGGCCUUAGGGUCGUAAAGCUCUUUCGCCAGAGAUGAUAAUGACAGUAUCUGGUAAAGAAACCCCGGCUAACUCCGUGCCAGCAGCCGCGGUAAUACGGAGGGGGUUAGCGUUGUUCGGAAUUACUGGGCGUAAAGCGCACGUAGGCGGAUUGGAAAGUGUGGGGUGAAAUCCCAGGGCUCAACCCUGGAACGGCCUUGUAAACUCCCAGUCUAGAGUUCGAGAGAGGUGAGUGGAAUUCCAAGUGUAGAGGUGAAAUUCGUAGAUAUUUGGAGGAACACCAGUGGCGAAGGCGGCUCACUGGCUCGAUACUGACGCUGAGGUGCGAAAGUGUGGGGAGCAAA